rnacentral:lncRNA from 1 species
ACUUUUUGAUUUCAUCUUUUGGGUACUUGCUGUAAUUCAAGCGAUGAUUAGUGUGUUUUUUCUAUCCUCUCUAAAUUUCUCCUCUCUCUUCGUUUUCUUGUCUUCUUCUAUCUCUUCGUCUUCUUGUUUUCUUCUAUCCCUUCGUUUUUGUCCUCUAUGAAUUCUUUUAUUCUCUCUGAAAUUCUUCUAUCUCUCUCUACCCGUCGAUUUUACAUGACUUCCAUCGCCG